rnacentral:snoRNA from 14 species
UAUGCAUCAGUAGGUGGCAGAGAGGAGAGGAAUAUGUCUAUGUUCAAUGUUCUAACCUGUGAACAUCUAAAUAAUUAGUAUCCUAACAUU